rnacentral:lncRNA from 1 species
AGACAGUGCGGUAAAGCCAAGGGAGAUUAUCCAGACCCCCAGGAGCGAACAGCAAGCAGCAACCGAAGGCGCAAGUGCCAGGAUUACAGCCUAGGCUGCUCCAACUAUGAGCCCUUCCUCGGACCCUGGGACUCGGCUACUUGGGGUUUGGGGGUCUUCCACACCACAGAGGCACAAAGCUGACUUUAAUCACUUUUUUUCCUUUAAACUUGAUUCUGCCGCAGUGGAGCCAGCACAGCGGAUGUUUUCACACCCAGCAAGACAAAGGCCGUCGUCUCCGCCAUGACACUGUUCCGUUCCAAGCAGAGGCCGGGAUUCUGGACUCCUCGAAAAAUCAAAAAGAAACAAGGAAAACAAACAACAAAUACAGCAACAAACAGAAAAAACUGAAAACCACCAAAAUCGUUUGCCCGUUUGCCCGUGCCAGGGGUGAUCUGGGCAUCUGUUGCAGCAGAAGGCGCUUGUGUGGGGCUAAUUUUUCUUUUGGUGGGGGGGACAAGCUGUUGGCUUGUUUGCUAUUUCAACUUCGUUUAUAAUUAACUUAAAAAAAACCCCACCAUUCAGCCUAGUCAACAACAAACAAAGAAAAAGCAGACAUCGGAAGAGAAAUGCCAUAGGAAGCGGCAUGAAUACAUGCCACAGCCGGUGCCACUUGCCACUCGGAAAACCUCAGGGAAAGAUGCCAAUUCUACAGCUGCGAAGAAGGCAGAGAAAGGAGGAUAAAGGUCUACAACUAGAAAUCAUAAGGAAAGAAUACUGCUUGUAUAAUCCUGGAUUGCAAUUGCACACAGCCUCUGCUGGGAGAAGAGAGGGAAUAUUUAAAUGGAGAUAUAGAUGGGUAUAAAUUAAAAGAUAGGCACCUAUCGAUUGCGUAUAAACACAUGUGUAAGGUUGUAUGUGUAUAUAAAUAUGCAUAUUUUCAGACAAACGUUUAGAUAUGUAUAUAUUUUGUGCUACAGGUAUGGGUAUGUAUAUAGGUGUAUAUGUUUAUGCAUAUACACACAUAUGUAGGAUGUAUGCAUGUGUGAGAAAAAGGAGGGAGAGAGAGGAGAGAGAAGGAAAUAUGUGUAUGUGCAUGUAUGUGUAUGCAUACAUCCCACUUUUUGACCCAGGUAUACACAGAAGACAAAAUAAAAAUCAUACUCCAGCAGCAAGCAGGCAGCCAGAGAUUUAUCUACAUUCACUGCUAUCACCAGGGAGAUGAAUGGGGCCGAUCUGAAGCCCUUUUACAAGAUCCACUAUGGGAGUGAAGGAGGAGGAGGGAUGCCACACAGACAUGCACAAACUUGAAGGCAGAGCGAUUUGGAAGGGGCUACUGAGGAAACACUGGUGGCAUAACGCAGGGGAGAAGAAGGGGAAAGAGGCUUGUCUCUCUCUCUCUAUGUUUUAGGUGGUUGUUUUUAAAAAAUCUGCAAAAGGGUUUCAGGGAACGGCUGGUACUUACGUUGUCUGCGUUGCUGUGGAUCCUGAAAGGUGUUCUGUUGGCACCGGGCGCUGAGCCAGGGGCAGGCGCUGGAAACAAAAGGGAGAGACAAAAAAAUAAAGUGAUUCAAUGGGAAUAUUAAUUGCUGCUCUUGUGGAUUUUACAAAACACAUAAACUGUUUUCUUUUUCUUUCUUAAAAAAAAAUGUGGAUUGGCGCGUGUCCCUUUUGCAUGGAAUAUACAAGUAGUAUGGGAUUUACAGCCCAGUUACGGGACUCAGGAUUAGCUGCGCUGGCAUCUUUUGGGCAUAUUCUUCCUUUUAAUGAAUGAGCUUUCGCUGUUAAUGAGGAAUAAUCGUUUGGCUAAUGAGCUUUGAAACAUUAAGAGAAAAGAGGUUUUUUCCGUUAAUCGCUCUGGUGCGACUGCAUGGAUGGAUUACAAAAGACAGCAAUAGGAACGCAGUACAAAGGGGGGGACCUCUCCUGCAGUGGGAGAAGCACCGAGAUGGGUGAUGUGUCCCUGCGUCUUUCCUUCCUUCUCUCUUUCGCUCUCUCUGCCAACUGCUAUGGGUUUCCAUAACUCUGCAAUCAAAGUGGAUGGUCGGGAAGGAUUAUUACACAGAGUGAAGCCUCCGCUGUUAAUGUCUCCAGUGUUUAAUCAUCAUACAGUAGAAUGGUUUUAUGCAUAUUUCAUUUGCAUAUCAUUAAACUGUGUUAGUGAGGGGCAUUCAGAACCAGGAGAAGUACAAAGUUGGGGAGAGAGGGAAGAAAAAAAGGUCCCUAUGAUGCUUAUCUUCAAACGGGGACUUGUUCCAUGAUCUGUCUUCUACUUUUGCUAAAAUCAUUAUGACUUGGAAACCUUUGAAGUUGGAUACAACCUUGGAUUCUUCUAAUUCCUGCAGAGCAGUGUAUUUUACAAAACAGCAGAAAUGUUCCUGCACUAGACAAUUAAAGGAAUAUAAACUCCAGUGGGCUGAAACUAGUAGCUCUUUGGGGAAUGCAGUAGCAGAGGCUUCUACAAAUACCAACACUUAAAAAUAUAUAAUAAACAGCAUCAUAUUAGAAACAAAGAAAACGAAGACAAGAAAUAUUAACACGUGGAUUAUAUUUGUUUCUUUUGGGGGGUAAUGAACUAAAGAGAAUGAAGAAGCCAUCGGUAAUUUAUCCCUUCAUUAAUGAACAGUCACCUUUUUGUAUGUGUUUGUUUUUGUCCUUUCUUUUUGAAGAGGGAUGUUGUUACUUUUGAAGCAAUUAGUCAAUUAUUUUGUAGCUCUGAUCUUUUCCCCCUGCACCCGACAGGACAGAAAGGUGGUGGUUAGGGAAUAUGUGAGUACUUGGGGAGGGGGGGACUUGGUGGGGAGAGAAAGAAUACAGUGAGUUCUUUGUAGAUCUUAUACAUGCACAACAUAUUAAUUGGGGGCUUUUAAAGCUCCCUCAAUGGGCUAUUUCAUUCCUGGUAAAACAGCAGCUGGUUAGCCACUACUGGUGACUCUUCAAAUAUUACUUCAUUUUUAUUCUGUCGCCGUUGUUGUUGUCUUGCUUUGUUUUUCCUCAGUUAAGAAUGAAAAUGUAGUAUCACCCCCUCUUUAGUGAGUCUCUUCUCCAUCUUCUUCACUCCAAUUUCCAAACUGUAAAACAAUGUUGGCUUAAUACUGAGUCCUGGUGCACAGUCUAACUGGCACAACUUGAUUUGGAAAUGAGAUGCUGCUUUAUAUUUAAAUUACCCCGGCUCCCCCCUUAUCCUCCAAAGCUUUGUCUCUGUUAUGAAUAUGCAGAUGAGGCCUGAUGUGAUUACACUGUACAAUU